GGAUAGCUCAUUGGGUAGAGCAAUCGGCUCAUAACCGAUCGGUCGCGGGUUCGACUCCCGCUCCA
rnacentral:tRNA from 1 species